AUUGAACGCUGGCGGCAUGCUUUACACAUGCAAGUCGAACGGUAACAGGCCUUCGGGUGCUGACGAGUGGCGCACGGGUGAGUAAUGCAUCGGAACGUGCCCAGAGGUGGGGGAUAACGCAGCGAAAGCUGUGCUAAUACCGCAUGUGAUCUGAGGAUGAAAGCGGGGGACCAAGCAGCAAUGUUUGGCCUCGCGCCUCUGGAGCGGCCGAUGUCAGAUUAGGUAGUUGGUGGGGUAAAGGCCUACCAAGCCGACGAUCUGUAGCUGGUCUGAGAGGACGACCAGCCACACUGGGACUGAGACACGGCCCAGACUCCUACGGGAGGCAGCAGUGGGGAAUUUUGGACAAUGGGCGCAAGCCUGAUCCAGCAAUGCCGCGUGCGGGAAGAAGGCCUUCGGGUUGUAAACCGCUUUUGUACGAAACGAAAAGGCUCUGGCUAAUACCUGGGGCUGAUGACGGUACCGUAAGAAUAAGCACCGGCUAACUACGUG
rnacentral:rRNA from 1 species